UAUCCAAUAAAUCGAUUCACCGAUCCAAACCCCGUCCACUAGUCACUACUACACGUGACAUUAUAACUUAGAAACAGUGCAGACUUUUGUGUUUGUGCACCGCUGUAAUAUUUGCAGUACUUUAUCGAGUGCAGAACGUGUGACUGUGUACAAUGAGGGCGUCGUUUAAUUUCCGUGGCCAUGCUCCAUUCCACCAUAUGAGAGCUACAGGAUGCAGUGACAGAACAGGCUCCGGUUCACCAACAGAAACAGGUGUAAAGUACUGUUUCGAAGGACAGAAGAAAGUCAGUGAGAAGCUUGUCAAUGUUUCUUCACCACCAAGUUUCUAUUAUCUGGACGAACGUGAGAAGUAGCAACUCGGAGCACCUCUCCAAUAUUUCACCGUCAACUCAAUUCCACAUUUAUUCCUGGCCACUUGCAAUUUUGAAAGGAGCUGCUGUUCACGUACACGUGUGCUUCCGGAAAGGCUUGUCCUUCGCCGUGAGUGGUCACUAAGCAUCUAAAACUUAUCAACAAGUUAAAUGAGUUUAUGAAGGUCAGAAACGCAUUUCUCGGCUCCAUCUCACUCUGCAAAUUCAUCAUUUCCAUUUGAAAUUCUGCUGGAAACUCUCAACAUCAAAUAGCAAUGAAAAUGUUUAUUCUGGCCUCACACUUGCGCAUAUCUUGGAAAUGGGAGAAGAAAUCUUAUUAAAGAUGCAGGCUGAAGUUCCGCGAAUUUCAUAGCAUGAGUUAAUUUUUUUCCGUUCUCAGAAUUGGGAAGUGUUUCAUACUGUCAGAUCGCAGUUACUGUUCAACCAUGAAAGCUUCCUCUCGAAACCCGGUUGGGUAAUGACAAUGCAAAACGCGAAGUUGCACAACCAGUUGCAAUAACAAAGCUGAGGAUGGGGUGUCCCUUUAUUUUCUUUGUAGUAUGCAUCCUGUUGUGUGUUAUAAAUAAGGUAUAUAAAUGUAUAUAAAAGUA